AUUGAACGCUGGCGGCAUGCUUUACACAUGCAAGUCGAACGGUAACAGGCCGCAAGGUGCUGACGAGUGGCGAACGGGUGAGUAAUGCAUCGGAACGUGCCCAGUCGUGGGGGAUAACGCAGCGAAAGCUGUGCUAAUACCGCAUACGAUCUACGGAGGAAAGCGGGGGAUCGCAAGACCUCGCGCGAUUGGAGCGGCCGAUAUCAGAUUAGGUAGUUGGUGGGGUAAAGGCUCACCAAGCCAACGAUCUGUAGCUGGUCUGAGAGGACGACCAGCCACACUGGAACUGAGACACGGUCCAGACUCCUACGGGAGGCAGCAGUGGGGAAUUUUGGACAAUGGACGCAAGUCUGAUCCAGCCAUUCCGCGUGCAGGAUGAAGGCCCUCGGGUUGUAAACUGCUUUUGUACGGAACGAAAAGGUCUCUAUUAAUACUGGGGGCUCAUGACGGUACCGUAAGAAUAAGCACCGGCUAACUACGUGCCAGCCGCCGCGGUAACAC
rnacentral:rRNA from 1 species